GACGAACGCUGGCGGCGUGCCUAAUACAUGCAAGUCGAACGCUUUUUCUUUCACCGGAGCUUGCUCCACCGAAAGAAAAAGGGUGGCGAACGGGUGAGUAACACGUGGGUAACCUGCCCAUCAGAAGGGGAUACCACUUGGAAACAGGUGCUAUACCGUAUAACACUAUUUUCCGCAUGGAAGAAAGUUGAAAGGCGCUUUUGCGUCACUGAUGGAUGGACCCGCGGUGCAUUAGCUAGUUGGUGAGGUAACGGCUCACCAAGGCAACGAUGCAUAGCCGACCUGAGAGGGUGAUCGGCCACACUGGGACUGAGACACGGCCCAGACUCCUACGGGAGGUAGCAGUAGGGAAUCUUCGGCAAUGGACGAAAGUCUGACCGAGCAACGCCGCGUGAGUGAAGAGGGUUUUCGGAUCGUAAAACUCUGUUGUUAGAGAAGAACAAGGAUGAGAGUAAAACGUUCAUCCCUUGACGGUAUCUAACCAGAAAGUCACGGCUAACUACGUGCCAGCCGCCGCAGUAA
rnacentral:rRNA from 1 species